ACUCAAAUGAAUUGACGGGGACCUGCACAAGCGGUGGAGCAUGUGGUUUAAUUCGAAACAAAGCGAAAAACCUUACCAGGGUUUGACAUCCUAGCUGCACGCUUCUGGAAACAGAAGUUUCUUCGAGAGUGCUAGGACAGGUGCUGCAUGGCUGUCGUCAGUUUGUACCGUGAGGCGCACCCUUAAGUGGGUCAACAAACGCAACCCCCACUCUGUGUUAAAUGUUCACGGAGAACCGCCCGCUAAAUGCGUGGAGGAAGGCGGGGAUGACGUCAAGUCAGCACGGCCCUUAUGCCCUGGGCUACACACAUCCUACAAUGGACACCAACAACGAGUUUUGCCACCUCGCAAGAGGAAGCUAAUCUCUUAAACGUGUCCUCAGUUCGGAUUGAGGGCUGCAAUUUGCCCUCAUGAAGUUGAAAUCGCUAGUAAUCGCGGAUCAGCAGGCCGCGGUGAAUACGUUCUCAGGUCUUGUACACACCGCCCGU
rnacentral:rRNA from 1 species